AACGAACGCUGGCGGCAUGCCUAACACAUGCAAGUCGAACGAGACCUUCGGGUCUAGUGGCGCACGGGUGCGUAACGCGUGGGAACCUGCCCUUAGGUUCGGAAUAACUCCCCGAAAGGGGUGCUAAUACCGGAUAAUGUCUUCGGACCAAAGAUUUAUCGCCUUUGGUUGGGCCCGCGUUGGAUUAGCUAGUUGGUAGGGUAAAAGCCUACCACGGCGACGAUCCAUAGCUGGUCUGAGAGGAUGAUCAGCCACACUGGGACUGAGACACGGCCCAGACUCCUACGGGAGGCAGCAGUGGGGAAUAUUGGACAAUGGGCGAAAGCCUGAUCCAGCAAUGCCGCGUGAGUGAUGAAGGCCUUAGGGUUGUAAAGCUCUUUUACCCGGGAUGAUAAUGACAGUACCGGGAGAAUAAGCUCCGGCUAACUCCGUG
rnacentral:rRNA from 1 species